UUGUUUUUCGUUUCUGGCUCUCAGAACUCAUCACUUCCCAGAAGAUAGGUGAUCAAAGAUAGAGACAACAGGAUGCCGAAGAGAUAUCACAGAGAAUAUUUCCAGCUCCAAAUCAAGUCUCCUGCUAUUAUCUGCUGUGUGAGAAACACCUAUGGGAACCUCAACAGAAAAGGCAAUAUCAACAAUUUCACACAAAGGACCAAAUAGCAGAAUUAUGCUUUCAAAAACAUCUGUCUCGCAUGGUUCUGGCCUUCCUGCAGCUUUGAACAUCUCAGCUUGUGGUUCCAGAUUAAUAAAACAGGAAAUUAAUGAAUUUUGGAUGAAAUCUUCCCAGCUGGGGGCAGGUUGUGCCUCAUUAAGGCCUGUAUUUUUGAUCAGAUUGAAAACCUCCAGCACCUCUGGACCCAAACUGUUGUAACCAGGCACCCGACUCUCCCCUCCUCCAUAAAGAAUGGUAAUUGCACAGACGUAAAGGAUUAAUAGCUAAUUGAGCAUAUUUUCAGACCAAUCAUCAUCAUGGCUUGACACUAAAACAAAUGUCUUUAAUAUGCAUGGAGCCUGUCACACAUAGUUAGUUUGGUAAUAUGGAAAAGAUUGAGAGAUCUAAAAGAAAAAAAAGGAAUUUAAACAGCAUUCUGAGGCCCGUAUCCCCCUUAUAACUGAUGAAUGAGGGAUGCAAAUUUUACUGGAAUGAGGCAUAUAUUUGGCAUCGUUUUCAUCCAUCCAUUCUCGAGAAGCAGUUCUGUACUCAAUAGAAUAAAAUAAUACAGUGACCCUGAGUUGUGAAAUCUUCAGUUCAGUCUCCUCAAAGUUGUUUCUAACUCAGUUCAGUGAAAAAUUGAUAUAAAUAUUCUCAUCUAGGUUUAAAACUCACAUUAAAUGCUGAAUUCACUUAUAUGUCAAUUUUGUUAACAGGGCAUCAAAGGUCUUUCUCUGUGUGACAACUGUGUGUAGUUGCAUCAUGUGGUUCCAUUUUGUUGUUUUCUUUUUGGUGACUAUAUUUUUUUCUCCCAAGCAGCUUUCCAUAAAAAAUUAAAUGGAUGCUAAGUGACUAAUGCAUUUUCUCAGUCGUGUGUUGAGACAAUAAAAAAUUAACAAUAGAAGUAAUUCAUUUUGAUUGGUGCCUACAGUACUAAACAACUUGUGUUGUGCCCUUAUAAGUAAUGCAUAUCUCAUGCAAAUUUGCCUCUUCACUUACAUGCAAAAUAUUGUUGCAUCCGUGUUAUAUAAAUUCUGAAAGACUUUAAACUUAUGUUCCAGCAUGUUAUGAUUGCAGUAUGCCCCUGUGCACCUCUGCCUGGCUUUGAAAUAUUUGCUGUUAUUUUGAAGUUCCACCCAGUCAUCUAAUAUGCAUUUAACCAGAGGUAAACAUGCAUCCCAAGCAAGAUCUCAUUUUGUAACUAUUAAUUCUUACCUUUCUCCCUGGCAUGCCUCAUUGUCACACUAUUGUAAACAUCUUUCUUUUUGUUUUGCUGUCUGCUACUUGGCAUAUCCCCACCACCUCGGCAUGCCUUAGAUUUAACUGUCAUUUAGCCUAAUGCAGCAUCCAGUUCUCCUUGUUUACAUGAUGUUAGCCUGACUACUACCACUGUGACAACAUUAGUUUGUUUGUUUCCUGAAGUGAUUCAACAAAUAGAUUCAAUGGUACCCGGAUACCUACAGUGCAAGUGUGAAUCAGUAUUGCAUUGUAAAAGUAAUUGGUGUGUAAUAUGGUCAUGAAUUGAGCCAUGGACUACAGUUUAACGCCUCGUGUUGUCUUCCCGUCGACCGAGCAACUUUUUGUUUUUAUGAGUCAAAAUGUGAAAAAAUUUUAAGGCAUUUGUUCAUUUUUUUAUUGAUACUUUUGUUGCUUUGAUAUUUUUGUCACUUUUUACAAUGUUUUCUAUCACUUUUUUCCACAAUAUAUGUCACGUUCUGCAUUUUUCCCCACAUAUUUUAAGCUAUUUUCAACGUUCAGUUGAAAAAAAAAUUCAAUUGAAUAAAACAUAUAAAUUCAUUUAAAGUACUGAACUGAUCAUUUUUUUUAUUUGUACAGAGCGUUGCAGGGGACCGCCACAUUUUUUCUUUUGAAUCUGUUUGAAAGAAACACAAAUUUAUAAUAUAGAAACCUUUUGAAAAUGGGUCAAAUUUGACCCGAGGACAACAGGGGAGAGUUAAAGGUGUUCUUUCACAGCUGGGUAUAACAAUAGAAUUGGUAGGGAAAACCUGAACAAUACAAAACAGAACAAAACAACAAGAUUCCGGCAUAAAUGAAAAGUGAGGGGGGUGUAGUGCUGCAGACAGGCAGAGGUGAAGAGAUGGGUCUUGAGGCGGGACUGGAAGAUUGUGAGGGACUCAGAGGU